GUGACAGGAUAUUUUGUACCUGCUUCGGACUGGUUCUGUCAUUAACCUACUGAGCUGGUGCUUCUGUCCCAGGUAAAAUGUGUUUGAACUUACAUUUGCAUCUAUACAUGAAGUAGGCAGCCUAGAGCAGGAGGCGGGCGUCAGAUCAGAGGGUUGCAGGCAUCUCCAUCGCAUCGCUCCUAGGCAUCUGAAAGUGUACCGUUGCGCACAGAUCAUGCUGGUAACGAGUUAUUCAAAGGGUCUACCAAUCAUGGCAAAAACAGAAAUCCAGCUCCUCAGCCCAGGCAGUGCCAACAACCCAGCUGAUCCAGGAGCUGCAGCGAGGGGUAGUGAUGACACUCCGGGCACCCCGACUGCCCUCUUCAACCAUUCCCAUGGAAUUCAUCCUGUCCAGCCUCCGUCAGAUAAUCCAGCCCUCCCCCUCCUACUUCCAGAGACUAAUUUGCAGAUUCUAAUGGGUAUGUGCUAAGGAGAUGAUGAGUGAACACGCUGCCAGUUUGGUUGCAGUGUGUCACCGAAUUCCGUAGAUUCAUCAUCACUAUGUGGGGUGGAAGCUGCACAGACUACAACAAGGCUUCUGGGACCCCACUCCCCUCAAGCAAGACAUUUACCACCUGCUUCACCUAUGAAGGACUGAUUAUUGGCAGUGAUGUAUACCACAACGCAUACAAGCUGUUCAGCCUGCUGCCCUCCGGGUAGAGGUACAGGAGUAUCUGCUUCCGCAACUCCAGACUCGCCAACAUCUUCAUCUACCAGACUGUCAUGCCGAAUCGUCCCUCCUCUCUCCCAUCCCAGGAUGCCGAAUUAUGACCAAGUGACUGAAGAACUGCCAUACGUCUUCACUUGGUCAUGGCAUGACCAGAGGCUGUAUGCAGACUCACAGUAUAAUUCUACACGAUCCACUAUAAGUCAUAUUUUAUUUCAGGUGGUUUUAAUAGCUGUGAUACAUUAAUGAUGCCUGCCAACGAUUCUGAAUUGUGUACAGUCUGUAAUAUUUCUUCUUCAAGGGACCAGUCAAGUCGAUGUGACAGGUGAUUUUUAUACAAAACUUUGUCAAAGUUUACGUAAUUGACACAUCUGGUUGGUCCUUGUUUUGAAUUCUGAAUUGUCAAUAUACUAUAUGCCUUUAUCAGGUUUGAGCUUGGAGUUGAGUAUAUGUUAAAUUAAUAGAAUGUGUUUUUUGCUAGUCUUCACAUUAAACUUAGACCGAACUGCCUUUACCUUUGGAUCGUCUGCAGUUCCCUGUUGGCCCACUACCAUCUGCCCCGCAUGGUGCGCGACACCAGACACUGGAGCAGCUGAGUCGCCACUCAUCAACGCAGAGUGAAACAGUGCUUUGACCGCUCCCACAGGGUUAAAAGACCCACACUUGCUCCACUGGACUGAUUGAGGAUCCGCAGGCCUACCCGGGGCCACAAGCUCAAGUCCUUCUGUUCUGCCCCACUGCAAGUGACUGAGCAGCUGGGUCCCGCCAUUUUCCGCCGUGUUCGCAAGGUGCCGCCGCCUACUGCAACAGACCUGGAGGCGACCGGCCCGUACAAGGGCCCAUCCAGGCCAUCUCAGGGACUAUGUACUCUGACAAUAUGAAUGAUGUCCCUGGGUCUCCCCUGGGGAGGGGGGAAAUGUUAUGUCUGCUCUGUUGCCUGUGCUGAUAUUUCAUAUUUCCUAAUGCUACUUGAAGACGACAUAAUAACAUUUGUGCAGGGCAUGCUGGGAUGCGAGUUCAGUGAAAUAAACGUCUGGUAUGGCUAGACUUUGACA